rnacentral:rRNA from 1 species
GACGAACGCUGGCGGCGUGCCUAAUACAUGCAAGUAGAACGCUGAAGGAGGAGCUUGCUUCUCUGGAUGAGUUGCGAACGGGUGAGUAACGCGUAGGUAACCUGCCUGGUAGCGGGGGAUAACUAUUGGAAACGAUAGCUAAUACCGCAUAAUAGUAGAUGUUGCAUGACAUUUGCUUAAAAGGUGCAAUUGCAUCACUACCAGAUGGACCUGCGUUGUAUUAGCUAGUUGGUGAGGUAACGGCUCACCAAGGCGACGAUACAUAGCCGACCUGAGAGGGUGAUCGGCCACACUGGGACUGAGACACGGCCCAGACUCCUACGGGAGGAAGCAGUAGGGAAUCUUCGGCAAUGGACGGAAGUCUGACCGAGCAACGCCGCGUGAGUGAAGAAGGUUUUCGGAUCGUAAAGCUCUGUUGUAAGAGAAGAACGAGUGUGAGAGUGGAAAGUUCACACUGUGACGGUAUCUUACCAGAAAGGGACGGCUAACUACGUG